rnacentral:rRNA from 1 species
UACAGAGGUCUCAAGCGUUGUUCGGAUUCAUUGGGCGUAAAGGGCGCGUAGGCGGCGGGGUAAGUCGGGUGUGAAAUCUCAGAGCUCAACUCUGAAACUGCACUCGAUACUGCUUUGCUAGAGGACUGGAGAGGAGAUUGGAAUUCAUGGUGUAGCAGUGAAAUGCGUAGAGAUCAUGAGGAAGACCAGUGGCGAAGGCGGGUCUCUGGACAGUUCCUGACACUGAGGCACGAAGGCCAGGGGAGCAAACGGG